rnacentral:misc_RNA from 1 species
ACGCAUGAUUACGACGUCAAGAUGCGCUCGGUCAUGAAAUUCCUGGGGGAAGGCGACAAGGUGAAGGUCACCCUGCGUUUCCGCGGCCGGGAAAUGGCGCACCAGCAGCUUGGUCUGGAACUUCUGAACCGCGUGGCCGGCGAUGUCGGCGAAGCGGGCAAGAUCGAAUCCAUGCCCAAGCUGGAAGGCCGCCAGAUGGUCAUGAUGAUCGCGCCGAAAUAAGCAUGACAGCGCCGGUGACGAUUCAGGUUCUGCGCGAACCCGGUGCCGAUCCGGCGCUGCCCUUGCCCGAAUACCAGACGGCGGGCUCGGCUGGUGCCGA